AGUGAACGCUGGCGGUAGGCCUAACACAUGCAAGUCGAACGGCAGCACAGGAGAGCUUGCUCUCUGGGUGGCGAGUGGCGGACGGGUGAGGAAUACAUCGGAAUCUACUCUGUCGUGAGGGAUAACGUAGGGAAACUUACGCUAAUACCGCAUACGACCUACGGGUGAAAGCAGGGGACCUUCGGGCCUUGCGCGAUUGAAUGAGCCGAUGUCGGAUUAGCUAGUUGGCGGGGUAAAGGCCCACCAAGGCGACGAUCCGUAGCUGGUCUGAGAGGAUGAUUAGCCACACUGGAACUGAGACACGGUCCAGACUCCUACGGGAGGCAGCAGUGGGGAAUAUUGGACAAUGGGCGCAAGCCUGAUCCAGCCAUACCGCGUGGGUGAAGAAGGCCUUCGGGUUGUAAAGCCCUUUUGUUGGGAAAGAAAUCCAGCUGGCUAAUACCCGGUUGGGAUGACGGUACCCAAAGAAUAAGCACCGGCUAACUCCGUGCCAGCCGCCGCGGUAA
rnacentral:rRNA from 1 species